UACGGGGGAGCAAGCGUUGUUCGGAUUUACUGGGCGUAAAGGGCGCGUAGGCGGUCGUGACAAGUCACUUGUGAAAUCUCCGGGCUUAACUCGGAACGGUCAAGUGAUACUGUCGGACUAGAGUACAGAAGGGGCAACUGGAAUUCUCGGUGUAGCGGUGAAAUGCGUAGAUAUCGAGAGGAACACCUGCGGCGAAGGCGGGUUGCUGGGCUGAUACUGACGUUGAGGCGCGAAAGCCAGGGGAGCGAACGGG
rnacentral:rRNA from 1 species